UACAGAGGGGGCCAGCGUUAUUCGGAAUUAUUGGGCGUAAAGGGCGCGUAGGCGGCCAUGCGAGUCUUCCGUGAAAUCCCUUGGCUUAACCGAGGACGUGCGGAAGAAACUGCAAGGCUCGAGUCCGGAAGAGGGGGGCGGAAUUCCCAGUGUAGCGGUGAAAUGCGUAGAUAUUGGGAGGAACACCAGUGGCGAAGGCGGUCCCCUGGGCCGGAACUGACGCUGAGGCGCGAAAGCGUGGGUAGCAAACGGG
rnacentral:rRNA from 1 species